rnacentral:lncRNA from 1 species
UGUGAUAUGGGUCUUUUCUCAUCGACGCCUCUUUUUCCUUCCCUCUCUUAGGCAAACCUUUUAGAGAAGUCAGCUGAGCAAAUAUGUACAGGUGAAUUCAAAGCAAAAGCCUCACAAAGUUGAUUUGCCUUAGAGCAAAGGACAGUUCCUUUCUUCAAUUCUAAUUAGAGGUGUUGGGUUUUUAAUUAAAUAUAUUACUGCUGUACUUAGAGGAGUUCUUAAACCUCCAAGUAAAAUCAAAAACCUCUUUAAAAUCAAAAUUUCUGUCUUGAUUUAUUUAUUUAUUAUUUUUUUUUUGAGAUGGAGUUUUGCUCUUGUUGUCCAGGCUGGAGUGCAAUGGCACGAUCUCCGCUCACCGCAACCUCCGCCUCCCAGGUUCAAAUGAUUCUCCUGCCUCAGCCUCCUGAGUAGCUGGGAAUACAGACGGGGUUUUGCCGUGUUGGUCAGGCU